GAUGAACGCUAGCGGGAGGCCUAACACAUGCAAGCCGAGCGGUAGAGAUUCUUCGGAAUCUUGAGAGCGGCGCACGGGUGCGGAACACGUGUGCAACCUGCCUUUAUCUGGGGGAUAGCCUUUCGAAAGGAAGAUUAAUACCCCAUAAUAUAUUGAAUGGCAUCAUUCGAUAUUGAAAACUCCGGUGGAUAGAGAUGGGCACGCGCAGGAUUAGAUAGUUGGUGAGGUAACGGCUCACCAAGUCAACGAUCCUUAGGGGGCCUGAGAGGGUGAUCCCCCACACUGGUACUGAGACACGGACCAGACUCCUACGGGAGGCAGCAGUGAGGAAUAUUGGACAAUGGGUGAGAGCCUGAUCCAGCCAUCCCGCGUGAAGGAUGACGGCCCUAUGGGUUGUAAACUUCUUUUGUAUAGGGAUAAACCUACUCUCGUGAGAGUAGC
rnacentral:rRNA from 7 species